ensembl:snRNA U6 U6 spliceosomal RNA
GUGCUCACUUCAGCAGCACAUAUACUAAAACUGGAACGAUACAGAGAAGAUUAGCAUAGCCCCUUUUUAAGAAAAAAAAUAUAUAUAUAUAAAUUUUGAUGGCUUUA